UACAGAGGGUGCAAGCGUUGUUCGGAAUUAUUGGGCGUAAAGGGCGCGUAGGCGGCGCGACAAGUCACUUGUGAAAUCUCCGGGCUUAACUCGGAGCCUGCAGGCGAAACUGUCGUGCUGGAGUAUGGGAGAGGUGCGUGGAAUUCCCGGUGUAGCGGUGAAAUGCGUAGAUAUCGUGAGGAAGACCAGUGGCGAAGGCGGAUCUCUGGAGAGUUCCUGACGCUGAGGCACGAAGGCCAGGGGAGCAAACGGG
rnacentral:rRNA from 1 species